CCAUGGCAUCAUUUUUUUUUUCAACUUAUGAUCUCAUAUUAUACAGUUAACAACAAUAGACAGGUAGGUGCAUUUACAAUUUGUGAAAAUUCUCCAUAAUUAAAACAAGCAUCUAACAUAUAUAGUUUUCCUUGGCCAGCACCCUUUCUUUUCAGUUUCCACUACUUUUUGAAGAUUAAUGAUAUUUUAUUUGUUUUUUUU
rnacentral:lncRNA from 1 species